AUUGAACGCUGGCGGCAUGCUUUACACAUGCAAGUCGAACGGUAACAGGCCGCAAGGUGCUGACGAGUGGCGAACGGGUGAGUAAUGCAUCGGAACGUGCCCAGUCGUGGGGGAUAACGCAGCGAAAGCUGUGCUAAUACCGCAUACGAUCUAUGGAUGAAAGCGGGGGACCGUAAGGCCUCGCGCGAUUGGAGCGGCCGCUGUCAGAUUAGGUAGUUGGUGGGGUAAAGGCUCACCAAGCCAACGAUCUGUAGCUGGUCUGAGAGGACGACCAGCCACACGGGGGGUGAGACACGGACCAGACUCGUACGGAAGGCAGCAGUGGGGAAUUUUGGACAAUGGGGGCAAGCCUGAUCCAGCAAUGCCGCGUGCAGGAAGAAGGCCUUCGGGUUGUAAACUGCUUUUGUACGGAACGAAAAGGUUUGGGUUAAUACCCUGGGCCGAUGACGGUAGCGUAAGAAUAAGCACCGGCUAACUACGUGCCAGCAGCCGCGGUAA
rnacentral:rRNA from 1 species